AGUGAACGCUGGCGGUAGGCCUAACACAUGCAAGUCGAACGGCAGCACAGUAAGAGCUUGCUCUUACGGGUGGCGAGUGGCGGACGGGUGAGGAAUACAUCGGAGUCUACUUUUUCGUGGGGGAUAACGUAGGGAAACUUACGCUAAUACCGCAUACGACCUACGGGUGAAAGCCGGGGAUCUUCGGACCUUGCGCGAUUGAAUGAGCCGAUGUCGGAUUAGCUAGUUGGCGGGGUAAAGGCCCACCAAGGCGACGAUCCGUAGCUGGUCUGAGAGGAUGAUCAGCCACACUGGAACUGAGACACGGUCCAGACUCCUACGGGAGGCAGCAGUGGGGAAUAUUGGACAAUGGGCGCAAGCCUGAUCCAGCCAUACCGCGUGGGUGAAGAAGGCCUUCGGGUUGUAAAGCCCUUUUGUUGGGAAAGAAAAGCAGCAGGUUAAUACCCCGCUGUUCUGACGGUACCCAAAGAAUAAGCACCGGCUAACUUCGUG
rnacentral:rRNA from 1 species